rnacentral:rRNA from 1 species
UUUUUGAUUUUAAUUUAAAGUUUAAUCUGCCCACUGAUUUAUAUUGAAGGGCUGCAGUAAUUUGACUGUACAAAGGUAGCAUAAUCAUUAGUCUUUUAAUUGAAGACUUGUAUGAAGGAUUUGAUAAAAUAUAAACUGUCUCUAAUUUAUAUUUAAAAUUUAAUUUUUUAGUUAAAAAGCUAAAAUAAAUUUAAAAGACGAGAAGACCCUAUAGAGUUUUAUAAUUUAUAAUUUAAAAUAUUUAUAUAAAAUUUUAAUAUAAUAGAUUAUAAUUUAUUUUAUUGGGGUGAUAGAAAAAUUUAUAAAACUUUUUUUUUUCAUUAACAUAAAUAAUUGAAUAUAUGAUCCUAAAUAAAGAUUAAAAGAAAAAAUUACCUUAGGGAUAACAGCGUAAUUUUUUUUUUUAGUACAAAUAAAAAAAAAAGUUUGCGACCUCGAUGUUGGAUUAAGAUAAAAUUUAAAUGCAAAAGUUAAAA